CGUUGCUCCAGCUGCUGUUGAUUUAAAAAAAGAAAAAGAGCUCUGCGUCGCAGCUCUGAGCAGCUGAAAACCCGCCAGCUGGAGCGAAUAUCGCCCGGUAUCGCUCCACAAAGCCACGUCUCCGUGAUGCACGGAACGGAGGAUACAGAAAACUCUCUGCUUUUCCCCACAAGUUCGUCCAGUUGGUUGGACAGUAAGCGCACGUUGGAGAGAAAGAUGCCUGGCAGCGGGAACCACGCUCGCGAAGACGCACGUCUUCCUCCUCUCCUGCGCUUCACUGGGUGAGUGGAGGUGAGCACACCUUUCACCAA
ensembl:lncRNA